rnacentral:rRNA from 1 species
AACGAACGCUGGCGGCAUGCCUAACACAUGCAAGUCGAACGAGAUCUUCGGGUCUAGUGGCGCACGGGUGCGUAACGCGUGGGAAUCUGCCCUUUGGUUCGGAAUAACAGUUGGAAACGACUGCUAAUACCGGAUGAUGACGAAAGUCCAAAGAUUUAUCGCCAGAGGAUGAGCCCGCGUAGGAUUAGCUAGUUGGUGUGGUAAAGGCGCACCAAGGCGACGAUCCUUAGCUGGUCUGAGAGGAUGAUCAGCCACACUGGGACUGAGACACGGCCCAGACUCCUCCGGGAGGCAGCAGUGGGGAAUAUUGCGCAAUGGGCGAAAGCCUGAUCGAGAAUUGCCGCGUGAGUGAUGAAGGCCUUAGGGUUGUAAAGCUCUUUUACCCGGGAUGAUAAUGACAGUGCCGGGAGAAUAAGCACCGGCUAACUCCGUGCCAGCAGCCGCCGCGG